UACGGAGGGAGCUAGCGUUGUUCGGAAUUACUGGGCGUAAAGCGCACGUAGGCGGCUUUGCAAGUCAGAGGUGAAAGCCCGGAGCUCAACUCCGGAACUGCCAUUGAAACUGUUAGACUUGAGGAUGAGAGAGGUGAGUGGAAUUCCCAGUGUAGAGGUGAAGUUCGUAGAUAUUGGGAAGAACACCGGUGGCGAAGGCGGCUCACUGGCUCAUUACUGACGCUCAGGCGCGAUAGCGUGGGGAUCAAACAGG
rnacentral:rRNA from 1 species